GUUCUCAGUUCGGACUGCAGUCUGCAACUCGACUGCACGAAGCUGGAAUCGCUAGUAAUCGCGGAUCAGCACGCCGCGGUGAAUACGUUCCCGGGCCUUGUACACACCGCCCGUCACACCAUGGAAGUCUGCAAUGCCCGAAGCCGGUGGCCUAACCACUUAUGUGGAAGGAGCCGUCUAAGGCAGGGGCAGAUGACUGGGGUGAAGUCGUAACAAGGUAAC
rnacentral:rRNA from 1 species